rnacentral:misc_RNA from 1 species
GAAAUGCGAUAAGUAAUGUGAAUUGCAGAAUUCAGUGAAUCAUCGAAUCUUUGAACGCACAUUGCGCCCAUUAGUAUUCUAGUGGGCAUGCCUGUUCGAGCGUCAUUUCAACCCUUAAGCCUAGCUUAGUGUUGGGAGCCUACUGCUUUUGCUAGCGGUAGCUCCUGAAAUACAACGGCGGAUCUGCGAUAUCCUCUGAGCGUAGUAAUUUUUAUCUCGCUUUUGACUGGAGUUGCAGCGUCUUUAGCCGCUAAAUCCCCCAAUUUUUAAUGGUUGACCUCGGAUCAGGUAGGAAUACCCGCUGAACUUAA